rnacentral:rRNA from 1 species
UACGGGGGGGGCAAGCGUUGUUCGGAAUUACUGGGCGUAAAGGGCUCGUAGGCGGCCAACUAAGUCCGACGUGAAAUCCCCAGGCUUAACCUGGGAACUGCGUCGGAUACUGGAUGGCUUGAAUUCGGGAGAGGGAUGCAGAAUUCCAGGUGUAGCGGUGAAAUGCGCAGAUAUCGGGAGGAACACCAGUAGCGAAGGCGGCACUCUGGGCCGGUACUGACGCUGAGGAGCGAAAGCCAGGGGAGCAAACGGG